rnacentral:lncRNA from 1 species
AACUAUCUAUUUAAACUUUUCCUAACGAAAUACAUAAUUCAAAACAUGCAUUUAAUCUCCCUGUUUAAGUCAUAUUUUCAUACAACAACAACAAAAAAACUCAGUGAAACGCCACAAAUGCUAAUGUUGGUUUCUAAUUCAUGGCAUAUUUUCGUGUUCCAAGAAAAAUUGGAAAUAACAUUGAGGGUAUCGAAUCAACUUAUGGCUUUAUUCUGCAACUCAUCUUUCAGCUCAAUUAGGUUCAAUUAGGAGAUGUCCUGUUGUUUUUCAUGACCUCUUUUUAUAAGUGGAAAUUUAUUUUUGACUUCGUUUAAUUCAGCAUAGAAAGAUAAUUACAGCAGAUUCGAUACUUGCCUGUUAAAUCGGCACUAAAGAAGGUAGCUCCAAUUAACAUUGAAACUUCAAAAUUAGCUUCCCUGAGUAUUGACUGCGACGAUUAACAUAUGCACCAUACACUUUCUUAGUCAUACAAUCUUAACAACAGCUAAAAGAUGUAAAAGUUAACCUUUGAAAUGAACUUAUAAACAUUAGCAUCAAUCAAUAUAUGAAAUGGUACAACGGUGAUAAAACUGGUCUAGAUACCACCACCAUAAAAAGAUUUAGAAAGUAAAUCCAAAAGAUAGAGCGCACCUGUUUGUGACGCGCUGACCACUUUCUGUGACGGUGACAGAGGGGGAAGACUCUUUUGCGAGAGAGUUGAAGAACCUGUUUGAGGUAGGGAGGUAGGGGUGGACAUCCGAUAUUUCGGUACGGUUCGAUAUUUAUUAUUUUGUUUCGGUACGUUUUCGAUACGAUUUAAUAUCCGUUGAUAAAGAAAAAU